rnacentral:rRNA from 1 species
UACAGAGGUGGCAAGCGUUGUUCGGAAUUACUGGGCGUAAAGGGCGCGUAGGCGGCCUUCUCAGUCAGACGUGAAAUCCCCAGGCUUAACUUGGGAACUGCGUCUGAUACUGGAAGGCUUGAGUGCGGGAGAGGGAUGUGGAAUUCCAGGUGUAGCGGUGAAAUGCGUAGAUAUCUGGAGGAACACCGGUGGCGAAGGCGGCAUCCUGGACCGAUAUUGACGCUGAUGCGCGAAAGCCAGGGGAGCAAACGGG